rnacentral:rRNA from 1 species
UACGUAGGUGGCAAGCGUUGUCCGGAAUUACUGGGUGUAAAGCGCGUGUAGGCGGGAGGCCAAGUCUGCUGUGAAAUCGCCCGGCUCAACUGGGCGGGGUCGGUGGAAACUGGUCACCUGGAGGACGGUAGAGGCGAGUGGAAUUCCCGGUGUAGUGGUGAAAUGCGUAGAGAUCGGGAGGAACACCAGUGGCGAAGGCGGCUCGCUGGGCCGGACCUGACGCUGAGACGCGAAAGCGUGGGGAGCAAACAGG